rnacentral:rRNA from 1 species
AUUGAACGCUGGCGGCAGGCUUAACACAUGCAAGUCGAGCGGGGGAAGGUAGCUUGCUACCGGACCUAGCGGCGGACGGGUGAGUAAUGCUUAGGAAUCUGCCUAUUAGUGGGGGACAACAUCUCGGAAGGGAUGCUAAUACCGCAUACGUCCUACGGGAGAAAGCAGGGGAUCUUCGGACCUUGCGCUAAUAGAUGAGCCUAAGUCGGAUUAGCUAGUUGGUGGGGUAAAGGCCUACCAAGGCGACGAUCUGUAGCGGGUCUGAGAGGAUGAUCCGCCACACUGGGACUGAGAGACGGCCCAGACUCCUACGGGAGGCAGCAGUGGGGAAUAUUGGACAAUGGGGGGAACCCUGAUCCAGCCAUGCCGCGUGUGUGAAGAAGGCCUUAUGGUUGUAAAGCACUUUAAGCGAGGAGGAGGCUACUUUAGUUAAUACUACUGGAUAGUGGACGUUACUCGCAGAAUAAGCACCGGCUAACUCUGUGCCAGCCGCCGCGGUAA